rnacentral:rRNA from 1 species
UUGCACCAUAUAAUGAGAGUAGCGCACUGGUGAGUAACACGUGGGAACGUGCCUUUCAGAGGGGGAUAACGUUUGGAAACGAACGCUAAUACCGCAUAACACAUAGGUGUCGCAUGGCACUUAUGUCAAAGAUUUAUCGCUGAAAGAUGGCCUCGCGUCUGAUUAGCUAGUUGGUGAGGUAACGGCCCACCAAGGCGACGAUCAGUAGCCGGACUGAGAGGUUGAACGGCCACAUUGGGACUGAGAUACGGCCCAGACUCC